rnacentral:rRNA from 1 species
AGCGGCAGACGGGUGAGUACACGUAGGUGAUCUACCCCAGAGACGGGGAUAACGGGUGGAAACUCCGCUAAUACCGGAUAGGCUUGUCGGUCAAGGGACAGGAAAGGCUCCGGCGCUCUGGGAGGAGCCUGCGGNCCAUCAGCUAAAGUUGGGCGGGGGUUAAACCGGCCCACCCAAGGGCAAAGACGGGUAGGGGGUGUGAGACAUGGCCCCCACAAUGGGACUGGAACACGGCCCAUACUCCUACGGGAGGCAGCAGCAGGGAAUAUUGCACAAUGGACCGGAAAGNUCUGAAUGCANGCGAACGCCGCGUUGGAUUGAAGAAGGCCCUCGGGCUUGGUAAAAAUCCUUUUACAGCGGGGAAGAGGGAAGGACGGUACCCCUGGAACAAGUGUCGGCUAACUACGUGCCAGCAGCCGCGGUAAGACGUAGGACACAAAGCGUUAUCCGGAUUUACUGGGCGUAAAGCGUCUGCAGGCGGACAGUUAAGUUGGGCGUGAAAGCUCCGGGCCCAACCCGGAAGAGGUCGUUCAAUACUGCGUGUCUAGAGGGUGUCAGAAGAGGAGUGGAAAUUUCCCGGAGUAGCGGUAAAAUGCGCAGAGAUCGGAAAGAACACCAAUGGCGAAGGCAGCUCCCUGGGGCAACCCUGACGUUAAGACUGGUGUUCCUAGGGGAGCGAACAGGAUUAGAGACCCUGGUAGUCCUAGCCCUAAACGAUGGAUGCUGGAUGUGGGGCCAUAGCGCUCCUUAUUUAAUCGUACGCGUUAAGCAUCCCGCCUGGGGACUACGGCCGCAAGGUUAAAACUCAAACGAAUUGACGGGACCCCGCACAAGCAGCGGAGCGUGUGGUUUAAUUCGAUGCUACACGAAGAACCUUACCUGGGUUUGACAUCUAGGUGGUAGUGAAGCGAAAGCGGAGCGACCCUUCGGGGAGCCUAGACAGGUGCUGCAUGGCUGUCGUCAGCUCGUGCCGUGAGGUGUCGGGUUAAGUCCCGUAACGAGCGCAACCCUUGCCCUC